AUGCUGGUACUUAAGAAAAACGGCACUUGGCGCAUGUGUGUGGAUUACACGGACUUAAACAAGGCAUGUCCAGCUGAUCCUUUUGCUCUCCCCCGUAUUGAUCAGAUCAUUGAUGCUACGGCGGGUUGUGAGCGAUUGAGCUUUUUGGAUGCUUAUUCUGGUUAUCAUCAAAUCAAGAUGGCAGUUAAGGACCAGGAGAAACAACCUUCAUCACUCCUUUUGGAGCAUUCUGCUAUGUGUCUAUGCCUUUUGGGAUCAAGAGUGCCCAGGCGACUUACCAGCGGUGUGUGCAAAAUUGCCUUCAUGAUCAGAUUGGGUGCAAUGUUCAUGCUUAUGUGGAUGAUAUUGUGGUGA
rnacentral:rRNA from 1 species